GAGGCCAGGCUGGGCUACACAGUGAGAUUCUGUUUCAAAAACAAAAACAGUUUAAGAAAAUAGAAAAUGCUAUUGGUAAGGAUGAAUAAACUGGAAUGCUUGCACCACAUUUUGUACAAAUCCAUAAUGGUGCAGAUGCGAUGGGAAACAGUGCAGGGGAUCCUCAAAAAACAUAACUACCACAUGAUUCAGCAAUCUGACUUCUGGGUAUAUAGACAAAGGGAUAAAAUCAAGAUCUCAGACAUCUGGAUUCCUGCGUUCACUGCAGCAUUACUCAAAAUAGCCAAGACACAGAAACAACAGUGUCCGUCAGAAGGUGAAUGGCUUAAAAGAUGUGGCACAGACAUAAAGAUGCUAUUCAGCUGCAGAAAAGGAAACUCUGCCGUCCGUGCCAACCCGGAUGAACUUGUAGGACGUUACACUAAGUGUAGUGAGCUGGUUACAGGACACAACUGGGCAGCCCACUUUCAUGAGGUGCCUUUAUCCAAAAUCACAGAAGCAGAGAACAGAAGGGUGACAUGCAGGCCUGCGCGAGGCCCUCGGCCUCCUCCACUGCCACGCCAGCUCCCCUGGCUGAGCCUUCGCUGUUUCCAGGGCCUCCAAUGUGUGGACUCCCCAUUCUACAGCAAACAUUUCUUUUGCUAUGGCUUAACUGAUUCACUCUGCCUCACUUUGGCCAUCUGUACUUGUGUCCAAGGGCUAACAUAAGAAAUGAUCAUUAAGCUUGGUGCUUAAAACAAAAUCUAUUUUCUCAGUUUUGGAGCACAAACUGCAAAAUCUAGACAUUACCAGGUCACAUUCCCUGUGGUUCUCAGCCCUCUCCACAUGUGGCUUGCGGCUCUGGCUACUUCCAGCUGGCAGUGGGCAUAGCUGGUUCCUGGGCCAGGCUACAAGCACAGCUCAUGUGAGGGUGGCCCUACAGGCUCCACGGGGUCAAAAUGCACAGAUUCUAUGACAGUAUCAGCUGUUCAGGGGCCUCCUGGGCUCCAUUCUUAGGUGUUUUUGACACUUAAAAUUCUUACCAAGCAAUCUC